rnacentral:rRNA from 1 species
UGCGUAGGCGGAAUAAUAAGUCAGUGGUGAAACCCUGCAGCUUAACUGUAGACUUGCCAUUGAUACUGUUUUUCUUGAGUAUGGUCAAGGCAGGCGGAAUGUGUAAUGUAGCGGUGAAAUGCUUAGAUAUUACACAGAACACCGAUAGCGAAGGCAGCUUGCUGGGCCGUUACUGACGCUGAUGCACGAAAGCGUGGGGAUCGAACAGGAUUAGAUACCCUGGUAGUCC